AUUGAACGCUGGCGGAAUGCUUUACACAUGCAAGUCGAACGGCAGCACGGACUUCGGUCUGGUGGCGAGUGGCGAACGGGUGAGUAAUGUAUCGGAACGUGCCCAGUCGUGGGGGAUAACGUAGUGAAAAUUACGCUAAUACCGCAUACGAUCUAUGGAUGAAAGGGGGGGAUCGCAAGACCUCGCGCGAUUGGAGCGGCCGAUAUCAGAUUAGGUAGUUGGUGGGGUAAAGGCCGACCAAGCCAACGAUCUGUAGCUGGUCUGAGAGGACGACCCGCCACACUGGAACUGAGACACGGUCCAGACUCCUACGGGAGGCAGCAGUGGGGAAUUUUGGACAAUGGGCGAAAGCCUGAUCCAGCCAUUCCGCGUGCAGGAUGAAGGCCCUCGGGUUGUAAACUGCUUUUGUACAGAACGAAAAGGUUUCUACUAAUACUAGGAGCUCAUGACGGUACUGUAAGAAUAAGCACCGGCUAACUACGUGCCAGCCGCCGCAGUAA
rnacentral:rRNA from 1 species